AAAAUAUAGUUUAAGUACUAGUAAUUUGAUCAUUUUAAUUAGUUGUUUACUAGGGGAGAGCGGGGUCGAAAGUAACGUGGGACGAAAGUAACAAAGCGAUUUUCUCCGAGCCUCUUUCUGCAUUUUCAUUCCCAGCUAUGACAGCAUGUUCAGCAUGCAAUCCUUGACGGAGCUGAGAAAUAUCAUGUGAUUUCCUCAUCGUUUCCGGAAGUUAGUAUAGAUAAAAUGACACGCACCAGUCUCUCUGCUCUCUUCGUAACCAUCUGGUUCACAGGUCUCGUCCCUGGAGAUGUAUCUUUGCAAAAUCUGAUCAUAUCUAUGUGGCAAAUUCCUGAGAUAACAGCAAAAGAAGGCACAGAUGUCACCAUCACCUGUCACAUUGAAGCUGAUCCACACGUGGAAAGAAUCAUGGUGAAGUGGUUCCAAGAUAAUCAAACUGUACCGAUCAAAACAGUGACUUACAAUAGAUCCCUUGUAAAUGGAUCUGUGACAAUUAAUGCAACACUGCACCUGCUGUCAGUGAAUCUAAACCAUAGUGGCAUCUAUUACUGCAAAGCACAGGUGAAUUUACCUAUGCUUGGACCUGAUGAACUUGGAAAUGGGACGCAUGUAUAUGUGGUGCCUAAUUCAACAGUUACUACACAAACUCUAACAAUGAACCCAGUGAUGUGGUCAGUGCUUUCAGGCUUGGGCUUUGUUUUGCUGAUCAUCUGCAUUGUCUGUGUUAUUCACAUACAUUCUAAAGG